rnacentral:rRNA from 1 species
UACGUAGGGGGCAAGCGUUGUCCGGAAUCACUGGGCGUAAAGCGCACGUAGGCGGAUGUGUCAGUCAGGGGUGAAAUCCCGGAGCUCAACUUCGGAACUGCCUUUGAUACAGCACGUCUUGAGUCCGAUAGAGGUGGGUGGAAUUCCUAGUGUAGAGGUGAAAUUCGUAGAUAUUAGGAAGAACACCGGUGGCGAAGGCGGCCCACUGGAUCGGUACUGACGCUGAGGUGCGAAAGCGUGGGGAGCAAACAGG